AGAGUUUGAUCCUGGCUCAGGAUGAACGCUGGCGGCGUGCCUAAUACAUGCAAGUCGAGCGAACAGAUAAGGAGCUUGCUCCUUUGACGUUAGCGGCGGACGGGUGAGUAACACGUGGGUAACCUACCUAUAAGACUGGGAUAACUUCGGGAAACCGGAGCUAAUACCGGAUAAUAUUUCGAACCGCAUGGUUCGAUAGUGAAAGAUGGUUUUGCUAUCACUUAUAGAUGGACCCGCGCCGUAUUAGCUAGUUGGUAAGGUAACGGCUUACCAAGGCAACGAUACGUAGCCGACCUGAGAGGGUGAUCGGCCACACUGGAACUGAGACACGGUCCAGACUCCUACGGGAGGCAGCAGUAGGGAAUCUUCCGCAAUGGGCGAAAGCCUGACGGAGCAACGCCGCGUGAGUGAUGAAGGUCUUCGGAUCGUAAAACUCUGUUAUUAGGGAAGAACAUACGUGUAAGUAACUGUGCACGUCUUGACGGUACCUAAUCAGAAAGCCACGGCUAACUACGUGCCAGCAGCCGCGGUAAUACGUAGGUGGCAAGCGUUAUCCGGAAUUAUUGGGCGUAAAGCGCGCGUAGGCGGUUUUUUAAGUCUGAUGUGAAAGCCCACGGCUCAACCGUGGAGGGUCAUUGGAAACUGGAAAACUUGAGUGCAGAAGAGGAAAGUGGAAUUCCAUGUGUAGCGGUGAAAUGCGCAGAGAUAUGGAGGAACACCAGUGGCGAAGGCGACUUUCUGGUCUGUAACUGACGCUGAUGUGCGAAAGCGUGGGGAUCAAACAGGAAUAGAUACCCUG
rnacentral:rRNA from 1 species